rnacentral:rRNA from 1 species
UACGAAGGGGGCUAGCGUUGUUCGGAAUUACUGGGCGUAAAGCGCACGUAGGCAGAUAUUUAAGUCAGGGGUGAAAUCCCGGGGCUCAACCCCGGAACUGCCUUUGAUACUGGAUAUCUUUGAGUUCGGAAGAGGUAAGUGGAAUUGCGAGUGUAGAGGUGAAAAUUCGUAGAUAUUCGCAGGAACACCAGUGGCGAAGGCGGCUCACUGGCCCGGUACUGACGCUGAUGUGCGAAAAGCGUGGGGAGCAAACAGG